AGAUCAAGAAAUUAACAUUUAUUUUAUAAAGGAAAAGAGAUUUUAAAUGGAAAUACAUGAUUUUAUUUUUAAUUUCUUUUAUUAAUUGAUCGUGAUCAUUCUUUUUUCUAAUGUGGGCAAAUUUCUCUUUUCCUUCGGAGCCCACAUUUAAAGAAAAAAGAAUAUUCGAUCACGAUCAAGUAAAAGAAAUAAAAUAAAAGUAUUUCCAUUACAAUCUCUCUUUCCUUCUCUUUAUUCUCUUUAUUAAAAAUGAAAAGAAAGAAGACGUAAGUUCUGAAAAGAACGUCUUCAUUUUCAUUUU
rnacentral:ribozyme from 1 species